CCCCCUCAGUUGCUACAACACUGGCUCUUGUUCUGCUGGGACUGUUCAUGGAGAUCCACACCCCGGCUUCGGCCUGCUGCACCUCCCAGAUUCUGGGGUUCACUCUUUGGCAACUUCUUAGCUAUUGCCAGGAAGAGAUCAUUCACGUUCAUAGCUGUCUUGGCUGAAGUCUCCAUGAACAAUAAGCUGUUGUCAUCUGCAUAUGCCUGGGCCUCUUCAUACUCCACCAUACGUUUGUUGGCCAGGUCAGCUUUGUUCCCUGCCAGGGCAAUAACGAUGCUAGGACUGGCCUGUCGCUGUAGUUCCUUCACCCAUGUCUUUGCUCGGGCAAAGGUUUCCUGAUUAGUAAUGUCGUAAACCACGAUUGCAGCUUGGGCACCCCUGUAGUACAUGGGGGCUAAGCUGUGAUAUCGCUCCUGCCCAGCUGUGUCCCAG
rnacentral:lncRNA from 1 species